AUGGGACAAGGAAUUGGUGAUGGACCCAACCUAAAGAUCAUAAAAGAAGAGGUAGAAGCACGAACAACUCUACCGUGGUGUGCACAGCCGCUCCCCACACCCCCACCCCCCACCCGCCGCGCGUGUCGUGCGGGCGCCGACGAGAUGCCAUACACGCGAGGCAUCGGGGUGACCAAAGACAAUGUCCGCGCCUGGUGCACGGGGGUUGUUCUGUUCGUGCCGCCUCCUCCCCCCCUCCUCUCCGCAACAACGAGUACACAAGCGGCGCACAAGGUCUCUCCCAAGGCCGAGGUCCGAAGGGAUCAGGGGUAA
rnacentral:rRNA from 1 species